rnacentral:rRNA from 1 species
UACGUAGGGGGCUAGCGUUGUCCGGAAUCAUUGGGCGUAAAGCGCGUGUAGGCGGUCCGGUAAGUCCGCUGUGAAAGUCGGGGGCUCAACCCUCGAAUGCCGGUGGAUACUGUCGGGCUAGAGUGUGGAAGAGGCGAGUGGAAUUCCUGGUGUAGCGGUGAAAUGCGCAGAUAUCAGGAGGAACACCAAUUGCGAAGGCAGCUCGCUGGGACGUUACUGACGCUGAGACGCGAAAGCGUGGGGAGCAAACAGG